ensembl:lncRNA
CAUAGUUUCUACAUAAUUUGGUCAAGUAUUUUUCAAUCAAUUUUUCCUCCAAAGACUUAGCAAUUUUUAAGUACUUUUUUCCUGAAAGUGAGGUUUCUCUUUAUUUAGACCACGUAGAAUCUUUUUUAGACACGUGGACAUGCCUAUAUUUACAUGAAAUGCGCUUUUACUCUCACCCCAUUCCUCUCAUGGCAUAAAUCAUGUCCAUUUCACAGCAAAGUUCAGAUGGAGACAGAUGGGGUCUGGGUGUUUGGGCCGGGGCUUAUAGCUAUUGAGGGGCAUCAGAGCCGAUUUUACACUUGAUCUUAGCCAAAAGGCUGAGAAGCGAUGUCAGAGCCGAUUUUAAAAGAAAGGGCACUUUGCGAAGGGGAAGGGGAGGUGGAGGGUUGUGGCAGAUACAACAAAGCCAACCCAACAAUUUGGGGUGGGGAAGGAGACUGAGAAACAAGCAUCCAGGAAUUUAGCAAAAACUAAUCUUGUGCAUUUCUCUUAAAUUCUCCCUCUCAUCCUCUCUAACCAGACUUGCAACAGAUAUUUUCUGAGCACCCCUCUGCAGGUCUGCUUAGCUGCACAAAGCACCUUGCCCUGUGCAUGGAACUGGAGGCAGCCCCAGAAGGCUCAUUCUGUCACCUGCGGCUGCAUCCCUAGAAAAGAAGCAACACUGUUCCUCUGUCUCUUUUGUCCUUCCGGUGACACAGGGAGUAAAUGUCACUCCAGCUGGCUGCCUCCCUAGAUAGGCACUUUUUCAGCACUCAGUAAAGGACCUGAUAUUUGCAAGAAGUGCUGUGAAGGUCACCUGCUUGAGUGGCUCCUGGAGUCCUUUGGCUCUUUCCCUCUAAUCCCUUGCUUUAAGGGAUCGUCACCAUUACAGUCAUAAUGGUCCCCCAUACCUACUGUAAACUCACUGUGUGCCAGGAGCCAUGGGAGCUGCAAAUGGGGUUCUUUCACGUCAGCACUCUAACCACCCUGUACAGCUCUGGACCUUCCAGUUUUUUUUUUUAAUGAGAAAACUGAGGUCUUAAUGGAGUUAAUAAACUUGUCCAGGCUCUGCAAAGCUCUGCUUAUCAAGUGGAAAGUCUGUGCUAGACUUGGGUCAGAGCUCUGCUUGCCAUGCUGUACCCUCCAGCAAGUUCCCUGUGGUCCCCUGGACUUGGGAAGCUGCCUGCUGCGGUCAUGACAUUCUUAGCUGCCUCUGCUUCCUACCUGGACUUUAAUACGUGUAUGCUGCUCUUUGUUCUCACAAUGUUGGGGCCUCCUUCAGGACAGUGCCCAUGCCUGUAUCACUGUUUGCUUCUCAGUGCCUAGAGCCACCUCUGGCAUAGCUGCUUGGACCCUAGGUGGGUCUCACCUGCUGCACCAUGGGGAAGGCAGGGGAAGGAGUUUCUGACUGAGGCCUGAAGACCCAUGGUUUCUGUUUUCUGGUCUGGGAUUGGACAGGGACCAUGUCGAAGGGGAUGGGUGUUAUCCACUGGAAGCUCUCUCCCUCACCUGGGAGGAUGAAGAGUACCUGACCGUCCACUGCUCAUCCAAAGGCCAGCUGUCCUGUGGAGACUGCUUGGAGCUAGACUCGGGGACCAUUCCAUUGCCACAGUUUUGUCUAGAGUCCUGGCCUCUGGAAGGGAGCCUGGAGAGUGAGAGUGAGUGGGAAGAUCUGGAGGAGCCCAAGGAUGCAAUGACAAUGCCCUCAGGUGGGUACUGCGUGGUCUGGGGGGAGUGAGGCUGAGCCCAGGAGGCUCUGUGUUUUCAGUUCAUUUGGGCUGGAGUGUCACCAAGUUUUCUGGUGGUUCCCUGGGGAAAUUACAGCAGCCAUUUUCACUGAGUGUGCUCAACGUGGCCCUUGUUCUAUGACAAUGAUUCUAUAAAGUAGGACUGUUAUUGCCCCCAUUUUACAUGGGAGAGGAAUUCAGCUGGUGGUCUUCCACUCCAGGGCUGCCUGGCUUGAGUGUGACCACACCCUUAUACCCUAGGCCCCUCUUCUGGGGGCUGCAGGUGCACAGCCCAUUCCUGUCAUAUCUGCUGCCAAUCCCCCAGCCACAGUUCCCUGGCUGUAUGAGAGGGAGUUCUGCCAUGGUAAGUUUCUUGGAGGAGGGUAGCAGGCAAGGUGAUAAGGAGGGUGGAUAUUUGAAAUUCAAAUAUGAUGUUAAAAGUGCAAGUUUUUGUCUGAAAUAGGAAGCAACAAGUUAAUAGGAUAAUUCCAAGGGGUUGAAGGCAGUGCUUUGCAUUUGUGGGGGAAGUCGGGACACUCUGACAAGGUUGGAAGGCACAUUAUGGAUUCACAAAACUGGGGAGUGGGGAGACCUUCCCAAUGGAAGGGUUUGGGAACUAAAAAAAGAAUGCUGGGCCCUCUCUGGCCACAAGAACUAAGGUCAGAGGCAGGAGCUAAGGACCACAGUGCCAGGCACAGAGCAGAGAAGCGGGGUCAGGCCAUUUGGGAAGAGGUGGGGCUCCAGCUCCAAGGCUGGUUCUACCUCCACUAGGUGGGUGACCUGUAGCAGUCUGUCCCCUGGAGACAAUCAGACCUGCCUCUUGCCGUUACUGUAAGGGUUAGGUGACAAUGUGUGCCAAGAGUUUAAAAAGUGCUAGCUAUUUUUUAUCACAAAUUUAAAG